rfam:Pseudogymnoascus pannorum VKM F-4516 (FW-969) contig_349, whole genome shotgun sequence.
CCAGCCCCCUUUGCCAAAAGGCUUAGAUCAAGCGUAGUAUCUGUUCUUCCCAGUUUAAUCGCCGGAACCUGUCCAAAUAGACAAAAUCACACGAUUAAUCCAAUAUUUACAACGUCAUCCCGCGACGCGCCGGUGGCUUGCUCCCCGCGCCCCGGGAUAGGAUGUCUCUGGUAUUUCCACAGCAUCCCCAAGAUGCGAAAUCGGCGCCC